rnacentral:rRNA from 1 species
GAUGAACGCUGGCGGCGUGCCUAAUACAUGCAAGUCGAGCGAACAGACGAGGAGCUUGCUGCUCUGACGUUAGCGGCGGACGGGUGAGUAACACGUGGAUAACCUACCUAUAAGACGGGUAUAACUUCGGGAAACCGGAUCUAAUACGGUAUAAUAUAUUGAACCGCAUGGUUCAAUAGUGAAAGACGGUUGUGCCGGCGGUUAUAGAGGGAUCCGCGCCUCAUUAGCUAGUUGGUAGGGUAGCGGCUUACCAAGGCAACGACGCGUAGCCGGCCUGAGAGGGUGACCGGCCACAUUGGGACUGAGAUACGGCCCAGACGCCUACGGGAGGCAGCAGUGGGGAAUAUUGCACAAUGAGCGGAAGCCUGAUGCAGCAACGCCGCGUGCGGGAUGACGGCCUUCGGGUUGUAAACCGCUUUCGCCUGUGACGAAGCGUGAGUGACGGUAAUGGGUAAAGAAGCACCGGCUAACUACGUG